rnacentral:rRNA from 1 species
UAGGGAAUCUUCCACAAUGGGCGAAAGCCUGAUGGAGCAACGCCGCGUGUGUGAUGAAGGGUUUCGGCUCGUAAAACACUGUUGUAAGAGAAGAAAGACAUUGAGAGUAACUGUUCAAUGUGUGACGGUAUCUUACCAGAAAGGAACGGCUAAAUACGUACCAG